AAAAUGUUUUGGACCGCAGAUUACUUUUCCGAUUUGGUGACCACCUGGAACCGGAUCGAAUUGAAUGAGAAGGAAUAUCAUCCAUACGUAAACUGUAUGCCAGAAAAGCUACGUUUCGAGACAAAAAAUGAAAAUUGGUGAUUACUGCAGCGGUGGCAAAAAAUCCAAACCACAUUCCAUCGUUCAAUACUGCUGCAAUCCAAUCAUCGCAACCGGCAUCCCGAUCUAGCGGAUUCUGUGAAAUAAUUCGUCUAUGUGACGGAUGGUUAAUCAGUGUUGAACGGAUCAAGAAGCACCGAAACUUGAGCAGUAGCUUCACCAGUUCCGAACAGUGUCCGGCGGACAUACAUCCAGCGGC